rnacentral:lncRNA from 1 species
GCAUGAUUUGAAAGUGUCCUAUGAUUGGGUAACUAUAACAAUAGUCAAUGGCUAUAGCAAUUGGUUGUGGAUUCAUUUAUGUGCAUAUUUGUAUUGUUAGGUCAAUUGCUUGCAAAGUUUAUAGGUUUGCUAAUACAAGUUAUGUUGAUCUUUAUGCUCUUUUGAAUUGGAUGUUGCUUCAGUUUUGUGUUGUGUCAUUUUGAAACUAGUGGUUAUUUUCAUGGAGCAUGAACAAGGAUUGAAAUUGUGAACUAUUUUAUGUGAUUGUGUCAUUUUUUAUGUUGCUUCUUUUUUGUGUUGUGUCAUUUUGGAUGUUGCUUCAUUUUGAAACUAGUGGUUAUUUUCAUGAAGCAGUUUUGUGUUGUGUCGUUUUGGAUGUUGCUUCAGUUUUGGUGUGUGUCAUUGUGAAUUGUCAUUUUGACAUGUAUAGGUCUAGUCCAAACAAAUUUUGUUAGUUCAUCAUAGAACAAAACUUACUUGAACCUUUCUUUUGAUGCUACUAAAGUUGCUGUAGAUGCUAGUAGUCAAUGAUUCAUGGUGAUUGAAUAAUGGUAGAUAUGGAAGACAAAUGGACAAUGACUAUAAUAGCUGUGUUGAAAUAUAGUUUUCUUACCAUCUCUGGACACUGGUGGUGUUUAUUUUUAUAAGCAAUCCAUCUAGUGGUGCAAGCUUUUCAAGCAAUUACGAAUAUGAUUUCCAUGUCCCAAGUUCACUAGAAAAAAUUGUUAUUCUGUAUUUAGUGAAUUUCAUGGUAUUUUUUCUUGGAGUGUUUUUUUUUUGUUGAUAAAAAUAAAUUUUGCAAGGUCAGACAUAACAUUAUAAGAUAAGAUUCAUUGGGUAGUUGUUGGGCCAUUUUACAUGCGGCAUGUACAGAACUGAAGGCAUUCUUGUUUUUGUUCUUGUUCGAUCCACCAUAUUGACGCUCAACAUCCUUUUACUUUUGUGUUUAAUAAAAAGUAAAACUUCUGUUUAUAAAAAAGAGAGUAGAACUUCUAAACUGAAGUUGCGUUAGUGAGCGUUAGCUUAUUGCUGAGGCUGUCCUCAUGGCCGUGAACAUAACUUAGUUGGUAGAGACAUUGCUAUAUGUAAGGGUUAGAGUUUAAACUUCGGUCGGUUAAACUUCCAGCUGAAACUUGUAAUAGGCAGAGUGGUCCACUAUUAUGCUUCUUUUUAAUUUUUGCAUGAUUUGAAAGUGUUUGAAUUUUUAUUAUUAAGUUUUACUGGAUUAUUAGGUUGUUUGUUAAUGUGUAGAUUUUUUUUGUAUUUACUUGUCUCUUUUUAGUUUUCUACAUUCCAUUUAUUUUUGUUUAACACUUUCAUUUUUCUUCAGGUCUGAAUUUGGCACACUCUUUGAUUUCGCUCAACUACAUUAUUUUUGUAAGGUAUCAAAUUCAUAUAUACUUCUAUUCACCCUUACCAAUUUUGUGUAUCUUAAAUUUCUAUGUUGUGUGGUUUAUGAUUUGGUGAUGUGAUUAUGAUUGAGGACUACUAAUUAGUACUCUACUAAAUUUUAAGUUCUAAGUUAGUAAUUUAAUUCAUACCUCUGUUACUAUAAGUUAAAUAUGAUUAAGUAAGUGAUUCAUACCUCUUAAUUUAACUUGGUUUUUGUUUAAUCAUGGAAUAUCCAAAUAAGAUUCCUCAUAAUGUACGUUAUUUUAAUUAUUAUUAUUAUUAAUUCAUAUUCUUACAUAUAAGUAUGUGUAAUGUAGUGCAAUUCAAUUCUGACUCAAUUUUGCGUUACUUUUAUAAUUGAAGUAUUUUUAUCGCCAUAGACAUCCUAGUACUCUAAAGAGAUGCUAGAUGAGGUGAAGGAGGAGUGGGCUACCUAUAUGGUUGAAGAUGUUAUCAAUGAUGCAAAAAGGCUGCAAAAAUAAUAGUUGAUCAUUAAUUGGUAAGUUUUAUCUUAUAAAUAUUUAAACAUCCAAAUAUAUUCUGAUAUGGCUGCUGUGCUUGGUAGAAAAAUGUAGUUGGUAUUCUUGGAUUUCACAUCCAUUGUCAAAUUUUAUGGCUACUUAGGAAUUUGGACAUGUGACACUAAAAUUUUAGAGUAAUGGGGAUAAUCAUAAUGUCCCUAAGGUCAUACUAUUUUUCCUCUUAAAAAUAUUAUUUGUAAAUGGGAUAUUGAAACACUAGGAUGAAUUAUGAGUAUGCUGCCAAACGAUGUAUUAUCAAGCAAAUGCCUAAUUUCUUGUACAUCUAUAUAUACAAUGACUAUGUUUUAUUAUGCAGGUAGUUUGAGGCCUUCCUUUUUCAAUGAAGUGGGUGGUUCUCAUCAAGUGACAGGAAAAUGAGUUUUGUAGCUGUUGUUAGAUGUCAAAUUUGUAGUGGUCUUUGUGNNN